rnacentral:rRNA from 1 species
CAAUAGCGUAUAUUUAAGUUGUUGCAGUUAAAAAGCUCGUAGUUGGAUUUCGGUUAAGAGCGACCGGUCCGCCGUUUGGUGUGCACCGGUUGGUUUUAACUUCCUGUAGAGGACGUGCUCUGGGUUUAACGACCUGGACUCGGAGUCUACGUGGUUACUUUGAAAAAAUUAGAGUGUUCAAAGCGGGCUUACGCUUGAAUAUUUCAGCAUGGAAUAACACUAUAGGACUCCUGUCCUAUUUCGUUGGUCUCGGGACGGGAGUAAUGAUUAAGAGGAACAGUUGGGGGCAUUCGUAUUUCAUUGUCAGAGGUGAAAUUCUUGGAUUUAUGAAAGACGAACUUCUGCGAAAGCAUUUGCCAAGGAUGUUUUCAUUAA